rnacentral:rRNA from 1 species
GACGAACGCUGGCGGCGUGCUUAACACAUGCAAGUCGAACGGUGAAGCGCCUUCCUUUUUGGUGGGUGUGGAUGAGUGGCGAACGGGUGAGUAACACGUGAGUAACCUACCCCCUUCUUCUGGAUAACCGCAUGAAAGUGUUGCUAAUACGGGAUAUUCUGGGUCUGUCGCAUGAUGGGUCUGGGAAAGAUAUUGUUUCGGUGGGGGAUGGGCUCGCGGCCUAUCAGCUUGUUGGUGGGGUGGUGGCCUACCAAGGCGGGGACGGGUAGCCGGCCUGGGAGGGUGGAAGGUCUGACUGGGACGGAGGCACGGCCAAGACUGCAACGGGAGGCAGCAGAGGGGAAUAUGGGACAAUGGGGGGAAGGAUGAUGCAGAGACGCCGCGUGAGGGAUGGAGGCCUUCGGGUUGUGAACCUCUUUCGCCAGUGAAGCAGGCCUGCCUCGUUUGUGGGUGGGUUGACGGUAGCUGGAGAAGAAGCGCCGGCUAACUACGUG